rnacentral:rRNA from 1 species
UACGAAGGGUGCUAGCGUUGUUCGGAAUUACUGGGCGUAAAGCGCGCGCAGGCGGUGUGUCAAGUCAGGCGUGAAAGCCCCGGGCUCAACCUGGGAACCGCGCUUGAGACUGGCACGCUCGAGUUCGGGAGAGGAUGGUGGAAUUCCCAGUGUAGAGGUGAAAUUCGUAGAUAUUGGGAAGAACACCGAUGGCGAAGGCAGCCAUCUGGACCGACACUGACGCUGAGGCGCGAAAGCGUGGGGAGCAAACAGG